rnacentral:miRNA from 1 species
UGUCUCCACUGAGCACUUGGGCC